rnacentral:rRNA from 1 species
AGCGAACGCUGGCGGCAUGCCUAACACAUGCAAGUCGAACGAAGUCUUCUGACUUAGUGGCGGACGGGUGAGUAACACGUGGGAACGUGCCUUAAGGGUCGGAAUAACUCAGGGCAACACGUGCUAAUAACGAAUGUGCUCUUAGGGGGAAAGAUUUAUCGCCUUUAGAGCGGCCCGCGUCUGAUUAGCUAGUUGGUGAGGUAAAGGCUCACCAAGGCUACGAUCAGUAGCUGGUCUGAGAGGAUGACCAGCCACAUUGGGACUGAGACACGGCCCAAACUCCUACGGGAGGCAGCAGUGGGGAAUCUUGCGCAAUGGGCGAAAGCCUGACGCAGCCAUGCCGCGUGGAUGAUGAAGGUCUUAGGAUUGUAAAAUCCUUUCACCGGUGAAGAUAAUGACUGUAGCCGGAGAAGAAGCCCCGGCUAACUUCGUGCCAGCCGCCGCCGUAAGAC